rnacentral:lncRNA from 1 species
GAACCGAUCCGUUGACCUUAGGUGGUGGUUGGCCGUAUAAUCGAGAGCAUGGGGUCUCGGUCGCGUAAACUAUCUAAGCUAACGAAAUAAAUAUUUGCUACGUCAAAACUUUACCGGGCCCUGAGUUGACCGUGAUUGACCCGAGAGUUGACUGUCGUUGACCGUCCGUUGACCCGAGUUGACCAGCAUUGACCAGUCAACCUGCUGUGUUGACUCGGUUGACCCGUUGACUGAGUAAAUCUGACCAGUCCGAUCCGCGGUUGAUCCGAACCGAUCCGUUGACCUUAGUUGACUGCCUUGACCAGCUUUGACCUUAUUUUACUGAACCCAAACCGCACAGUGACCCGAGCCGAACCAAGACUCGCCCGUAACUAAUCUGACCCGAGAUGAGACAAACUCGAACCAAGCAUAUCCUAGAUCCGAAACAAACAACCGGCUCCCGAACCGCCGUCAUCGUUGCCGGACGACAACUGUCGUCGCCUUUUUGGCUUCAACCAUCACCAUCAACUUCACCCUUUCGAACAUCCACCCCUCCGCUGCCGUAAACGACGACAUCAACGCCGACACCGCCACUCAUCAAACCUGAAACGUCACCAAAACUGGCCGGAGAGAUAGAUCUUUACAGAUCUGAAAGUAAACGAGGGAAAGAUGACGAAUUAUAAGAGUUUACCGGAGAAAUUUUUGGACCCGCGGCUGCUGUGACUCGAGAGAGAGUUACCGGAACCACCGCCGCCGUCAACGACGGCACCGGCUCCGCCGGUUCUCCCUCCUUCUUCUACAAAACAAAGGGAAAGGGAAAAAGAUAAGGGUGGGUGUCGGCUCGUAGGUUUUUAGGGAAAUUGAGGGUGUUUAGUGAGUGUUAGGUAUUUAUAUUUAGGGUUCCUACUGGGCUUGGGCCCGAGGCCCGCAAGCCAAUCUCGGGUAUUUUUAAGCGGCCCGUUAACGUUUCAGGAACCCGUCUUCUCACUCGAACUCCAUGAUAUGUCGUAGAAAUAAAAAAAAAAUUAUAUAUCGAAACUCCAAAAAUUACGUCAGUAAU